AUUGACGUUUUGACGUUCACAUAAACAAUGUCACCUUUCUUUUUUAUUAAAUAAUUUACUUUGAUUGCACAUUAAUUUUCGUAUUCUAACAUAGACGCAUGUAGUGCUCAUGAGAACAAAUAAAAAAAAGGAUAAUAAUACUGUUAGUAUUAUUUUGGGAAAGCAAAGAACUUAAAUGAAAACAUAUGUAUUCAUAUCUAAGCGUUACUUGAUAUUCAAUGCAAAACACGCUGUCGGUGAUUAAUAUUUUUCAUCACUUACACGAUUUGAGAAUACCUACCCUGCUGACUGACUCCUUGCUCGUCAACCCGUCCUGGUGAAACUUGCAAAACCUUUGGGCCACCAGUAAUACUUCAUAAAAGUCGAAGAAAAUACCUACAUCAGAAGAAAGAGCUACGUACUAUACUUUCAAUACAGUGAAUUAAAACUUA